UCGGGAUUCCCACCAUGGCCUGGGUCCCACUCCUUGUUACAGUGCUCACAUCUUGCUCAGGUUCCCUGGCCCUGUACGUGAUGACACAGUCACCUGUGGUGUCCAUCUCACCAGGACAAACUGCUGAACUGACCUGCACAGGGAGAAAUGUUGGUACCUACGUGAGUUGGUACCACCAGAAACUUGGCAGUGCCCCUGUGCUGUUUAUAUAUGAGAAUACCCAGCGACCCUCCAGCAUCCCUGACCGAUUCUCUGGUGCCAGAUCUGGGAACACGGCCACGUUGACCAUCACUGGAGUCCAGGCCCAGGACUAG